rnacentral:rRNA from 1 species
UACGUAGGGGGCAAGCGUUGUCCGGAUUUAUUGGGCGUAAAGAGCACGCAGGCGGUCUUUUAAGUUUUGAGUGACAGGUGUUGGCUCAACCAAUACAGUAUUCAGAAAACUGGAAGACUUGAGGGCUUCAGAGGGACGCGGAAUUCCAGGUGGAGCGGUGAAAUGCGUAGAGAUCUGGAAGAACACCAAAGGCGAAGGCAGCGUCCUGGGAAGUCACUGACGCUCAGGUGCGAAAGCUAGGGGAGCGAACGGG